rnacentral:ncRNA from 1 species
ACUAGAUAUUGUGUUCAGGGUUCUCUUUGAUUCGAAUUUUGGGAUUCGAAAUCGGAUGAAAGAGCUAAGAGGGAAUUCGGUAAUUUAUUAGAAAGCCGAAGCUGCCCCCGCAACUGUAAAUGGUAAGUCAAAAUCGUAUGCCACUGGGGUCACCCGGGAAGGUGGUUUUGGCGCUUCAAGCCAUGAGCCAGGAGACCUGCCUUGAAUUGAAUGUCAAC